rnacentral:ncRNA from 1 species
AAAGGUUGUGCCUAACAACAUAUAAAUUUUAGGCCCAUCCAGUGCAGUCAGUGCCUGCACACUUAAACAUUAAACUGAUAUAAAAGAUGGAGGUAGC